CGCCCCUGAGGGGGGUGGGGCGAGGCUGCCGGGCCCCGUGGGAGCCCCGAGUGAACUACAGGUUCCCAGGAGCAGGUUUGGGUGCUGGCGGUGCCCACACAAGGGCCUGCAGCCCUGUCCAUGGGGCCAGGACUCAUUCUACCUUCUUUGUUUUAUUGUCUGUGCUUAGAAGAUGAGAUCAUACGAUUUUCCUUUUGGGGACACCCUUGGGGUUCUCUUUGUGGCCUUAAAUGUGUUCCGUCCUGUAAAAAUUCUGACGGGAGGACUGUCCUCUGGCCUCCCUUCCUUCCCUCUGGUGUCUGAUCUGGAGCCACCUCCAGCCUCCUCACACUUCCGGGUGUGGCAGCGAGUCCCCGGCACCUGGGCCCACAGAUUUCCAUGGUUCCUUCCAUUUGUUCCUUGUGACACCUGUGCCUUGAGCUCCACCCACUUGGAUUCCUUCCGCAUUUCUUAACGUUUCGUUGAGCAAUGGUUGAACUUCUCUGGCAGCGUGUGUUUGGUAGGUGAAGUUAUCUCUGAGUAUCUGCCAAUUCAGCAGGUGUUCCUGGACUUAUUUCUGUCCUGCCUUCAGGCUUGUCGGGGUGUGUGGGUGUGGUUCCUUCUGGUGACUGCACAUGGAAGUCAGUCUAGUUUUUAGGUAUUCUGGUAGUUACUGUUAUAACUUAAUAUAUUUACCUUUUCUAUUGUUUUUU